AGGGGCUGAGGGCAGAAGACGGAACUCAGGUUGUAGGGGGACCCAAGGAGACCUCCAAGAUGUGUGGGGAUGAGCGAGUAUGGCCUAGGUCUUGCUAGAGGGACUAGAUUCCAUAAGGCAGUGUGCAUGGUUAUAACUAAGAGGUUUGAGCCCUUAUGGCAUGGACUGAGGUGACUGUUCACACUUUUCUCUACAGAACACCCACCAAAUCCUCCAUUAAAAUGCCUGGGGACUGGGGAGGAGGUGCACGGGGAGCUGUGUCUCACUCAGAAGACCUGGGGCCUGGGACCUACAGGAAGAGAGAGGAAUAUAGCAAGCAGGGAAGGUAAAGCUAAGGGCUGAAUAACAGGAGAGCCUGGUGGAGUCAAGGCAAAGGUUCCAGAUCGUGAAAUCAUGGCUGAAAGAUCAAUGGUCACAGGCACCGAGAGCAUGACCCUGACAUCACAUGUACCAUCCCAUGCCUGGCCCAGAUCUGUGUUCCUCCACCGCAUCCCACAUGUCACCCAGUCCCGGCAGGCACCAACCGUAACGAGGAGAGCUGGGAUCCGACACAGCCUGCACCAGCUCUGAGAGUUUCUCCAGGUUCUGCUGUCUCAGGGCAAAGGUGAGACUCAGCUCUUCCCCGGGGUCCAAACGGCCCAGGGACACCCAGCCUGGGGGCAGCCUGCAGAGCAGCAGUCCAGGUUCAGGGGCAUGGCCUUGGUUAGGGUGAGGAUGGGAAAUAGGGUUCAUGGAAGUUUCAGAACUAGAGGCUGAGACCUUGUGUAGGCUCCCAGGGGCAGAUAUGGGUCACAGAGGUGAAAAGGUGGGGGACUGAGCUUGGGAACCUGGGGAUGAAGCUAUGGUGCGGGCUCCAGGAGCUGGUGAGGUGGUGAGGGAGGCUAGGACCAGGAACGUGGAUGCAAGACAGGACACCGGGAAGGGGCGUUCAGUGUGAAGUCACUCACGUCCACCGCUGGUCGGGCUCAGGGCUAUAACUGCAUUUGCCAGCAACAAUGAGGGCAAAGAGCCCUAAGAGGCUGUGGGGAGAGGCAGGAGGGUUUCAGCGGAUACCAGGCUGUCAUUGUUUCCCAUCCCCCAACACACGCUCCUCCAUCCCCCCUCGCGGACCCCCCUAUUUUCUCACCAGGCUUGGAGUCUCAUUCUGUCUUUCUGUCGACCUGCUGUCAUGUGAUGGAUCACAUGACUCCUAUGUUCUUGCUCCACCACCACUCCCCCACCCCCAGCUUACUGACGUGCUGGCUCCUCCCUCGGAUGGGUGGUUCUGAAUGCUAGGAAACCGGUGCCAUUUGGUUUCUCCCUCUCUGGCCUGCCAAACAUGGGUAAACCCAGAGCUCCCCACUAGGACUCCCCCAAGUCCUGUGUGGCACAGUAAUGGAAAUCACUACAAGGUGUAGGGGACCUGGGUUCUCCCUAGCUGUAUAUCAGGGAGAGUAAUUUCACCUCUCUGAGCUUAGGUCUCUUCAUUUGUAAUACAGACACUAUUAUAUUAAAACUGACCCGCCUCACAGGGUUACUGUGAAAAUUCACACUGAGAAAAAGUCGGCAGAUGGCUCAGCAGAGAGCCUGACACAGCAAAGGCUCAACAAACGUGAGCUCUUAUUACAGUGUGGAUACACAGCGGCCCAAGAAAAGCAAAUAAACCACUUAGCUGCUCUUUUAUCUCCCCUGCCCUCCAGGUCUGGAGCUGGUCAUCCCCAAGAUCCCUUCGCACCCAGCCAGUACCUCUAGCUCCAUGACACAAUGAAUCCCCUGCUGGCUGCCUUCUCCCAGGUCUCCUGCACAUUUUAGAGGGAAAGAUUGUCAAGAAGUAUGAUGGUCAAUCUCAGACUAGGCUCCUGAGCUCCAGUGCCACCCCUACAUUAGAUGCCACCAGUGUCCAUCACAGCCCUAUGGUUCCCAAGGUGCCCACUUCCAAUCAUCUCCCUGCCCCUAUGACCCCACAGAACAGAAUCGGAGACUGAAUACAAACUGCAGUUUAUUAAGGCUCCAGAGUGAGAAUUGGCACUUGGUUCUGGGCACGGGCAGGGGCAGGGAUGUUAGCGGAACCCAAAGGAGCUGGGCCCAAACAGGUUGGAAGGACCUCCCCUGCCCCCCUACUCGCAAAUAAAUAAAGUCUCAGCUCUGUUCCAGGGUGCUGGCACAGGGCAGGAAGCUGUCAGGGAGAACCCAGGGCUGCUGCCUCCUUCAUAUUCCCCCUCCCACCCCAACACUGGAUCUGGCCCCAGGUCAGUGCCCCAACAGGGCCUCUCUGGUGCUGGUGCUCUGAGUGGCUGGAUGUGGGACCUGCCCCACUGGAUGAGUUUGGGUUGGGGGUCUGGGGCCUGAGGAUGGCCUCCCCUGUGGCCAAUCACGAUCCGAGGCUGCCCGGGGCAGGCUCAGAGUGGGGCCUGCAUUGGGGACACUGUGCGCAUCCCAGGUCGGGGCCCAGCCUGGGCCACAGCUAGAUGUGCAGCUCUGUGUCAUCAGGCGGCUCCAGGCCAGAUUCUGAGCUGAGUGCCGAGGCUGAGGGGCCCUGGGCCACCCCAAAUGGUGAGACAACAGGUGAGCGAGCAGCCAGAGGAGACAGCGAGGGUGAGAAGCUAGGGGACAUGGCAGCUGAGGACAGGGAGCCUUCAUGGCUGAUGGGGGAGCGGUGAGAGGCUGGUGGGAAGAUGGCCCGUGCUGCAGCUGUGCUGGCUGGCUUAGGUGGCACUGACUUGGCCCCUGGGUGGGCCACAGCGGUGAUGAGGGGUGGUGGGUCAAUACGGGGAGCUGGGGGACAUGGCCGAGCUUCAUCCUUGAGCCGGGCAAUCUCUGUGAAGACACUGGCCAGUGGCUGGAACUGAGGGCACCAGCUCAGCAGGUAGUCCCAGUUAUAGCUGCCUCGGAGCUCCUCCUCGCCAGCCACAAUGGCUGUCAGUGCACCUGCCACGCACGGCUUGCCAUCUGCUGGGAAGCCAUAGUCCCCGGUGGGUGCGGGGCUCAGGCCACAGCCCCCCAGGAAUGCUGUGGCGGUGGCUGGGGGCCCCUCCUCUCGGUACAGAGUGGCUCCUGUGCCUGGCAGCAGCAGCCCUGCCUUGCGGCCCUUAUACCACGUGUCAGGGGCAGG